UACGGGGGGAGCAAGCGUUGUUCGGAUUUACUGGGCGUAAAGGGCGCGUAGGCGGGAUGGCAAGUCGGUCGUGAAAUCCUUCGGCUCAACCGAAGAACGUCGAUCGAUACUGCUGUUCUUGAGGGUUGCAGAGGAGACUGGAAUUCCCGGUGUAGCGGUGAAAUGUGUAGAGAUCGGGAGGAACACCGGUGGCGAAGGCGGGUCUCUGGGCAAUUCCUGACGCUGAGGCACGAAGGCUAGGGGAGCAAACGGG
rnacentral:rRNA from 1 species